CAUCCAGCAGAAGCAUGAGGAGCGGACGGAGCCGGCGCUGCGGGCAGUUGGUUGCAAUACCAAGAUGUUGUUGCAGAAGGUGAAGGAAAUGGAAUCUGCUGUGGAAAGGUUGGCAGAUGAACAGAAGCAGCUACUGACUGCACUGGCGCUGCUGGAGGAGCAGCUCAGACAAACACGGCUGGAGCUGCAGGCUGCACGUGCGGCAAACAAGGACAUGGACUCCAGCAUGCAAGC